AUGGGCGAAAGCCUGAUGCAGCGACGCCGCGUGAGGGAUGACGGCCUUCGGGUUGUAAACCUCUUUCAGCAGGGAAGAAGCGAAAGUGACGGUACCUGCAGAAGAAGCGCCGGCUAACUACGUGCCAGCAGCCGCGGUAAUACGUAGGGCGCAAACGUUGUCCGGAAUUAUUGGGCGUAAAGAGCUCGUAGGCGGCUUGUCACGUCGGGUGUGAAAGCCCGGGGCUUAACCCCGGGUCUGCAUUCGAUACGGGCUAGCUAGAGUGUGGUAUGGGAGAUCGGAAUUCCUGGUGUAGCGGUGAAAUGCGCAGAUAUCAGGAGGAACACCGGUGGCGAAGGCGGAUCUCUGGGCCAUUACUGACGCUGAGGAGCGAAAGCGUGGGGAGCGAACAGGAUUAGAUACCCUGGUAGUCCACGCCGUAAACGGUGGGAACUAGGUGUUGGCGACAUUCCACGUCGUCGGUGCCGCAGCUAACGCAUUAAGUUCCCCGCCUGGGGAGUACGGCCGCAAGGCUAAAACUCAAAGGAAUUGACGGGG
rnacentral:rRNA from 1 species